GCAUUGUUUAUAACGCUAUUUAUGCUAAUGAUUGUGGAGAGAGAGAGAGAGAGAGAGAGAGAGAGAGAGAGAGAGAGAGAGUGUUUCAUAUAGGUGUGAAUGUAAUGAUAUUAGUGAAAUUGAAUUCCGCUGUCGGAGUUGCGCAGUCCCGCGGCGUGGCGGCGGUGCGGCGCCUGCUCCUGGUAACGGUGGCGUGUGUUCCUUGCUGUUCAUUAUUUACCGGUGGCCUGGCCGCCUCGGUAAUUACGGCCCGCUUUAAUAUCUCUUAUGGAAAAAUACGAAUUACUGGAGUGCUUUGAAAAUGAGAUUAUCCUUAACGAGUAUUCAUUUAUUUCGAUGAGUGUUGAAUUGUUUAGUCAUAUUAAUAUUUCAUUACACGAGUACUUUGGCGCAUAACAGUGAAAUGAAAUACUAAACCACUUGAAAUAUGAUUGUAUGAAAUUGAAGAGGCUUCGAACGACAAGAGUGAGUGAGAACUGACAAUACAUCAGCUUUGGAGUUUGUAGAUUUCCAAUGGCAGGAAUCACGAACAAUGGAAACACUUACGGGAGGGACAGCAGUUGGUUAUUGAUGUCACUGAUGUGCAGGACUUGUGUUCCCUCGCGAUACUGACUCACUCCUGGUAUCUUUUCUCUGAUUUUAUUUGAGUUUAUCAAUAUGAACUGAAAAUUUUAAAAGAUCUUGGUUUCUACUGCGAUGUCUGAGACCACAAAUCCCUUCUCCCCUAAACCACCGCCACCAUCACCGACGCCAAUACUUCCCACUACCACCAUCACUACCACUACCAUCACCACCACCACCACCGACGUAAUAAUAACUCUUGCAGUUCAAGAGGAGAAUUCAGCUUCAGUCUGGGAACAUUUUGAGUGAGUUGAGAAAAAUACAAAUGAUAUAUAAAUGUCCUUAAAAACUCACUGAUGCUUAAUACAAGAAAAUAAAUAAUGACAAAGGAAGGAAAAAUGUUAAAAGUGAAGACGUUAUGAUGUGCAGUGAAUGAUGUGAAAAUCGUAAAAUUAACUCUAAAUAAACAAAGUAAAGCAUAAAAUAAGUGUUAAAAAUCAGAAAUGACAAAUAUACGACGAGUUACGUGUGAAAAAAAUUAAAAGCAGAUAGGGAUAAAGAAAAUGCAAGUAGAGUCAAGGUAAAGUAAGAGAAAGUUAAGGUUACGUGGAACAGAGUGGAUCAUUUGAGUGUGAAGUGCGUGGAAAUUAUGAUUAUAUACAUUAUAAAAGUAACUUCCAGAAUAAAAAUGAAACAUGCUUACGAGAAUAUGCAAAUCAAAGGGAACUCGGAAAUGAAUUAAAUACUGCCUAAACAUUGAUAAACUUAGAAAUGAAAGAAAAGUAGAACUGAAAAAGUGGGAUUCAAGCGCGAAAAUAACUGACGAAACUUGACAAACAAAACAACAAAGCUAAAAUCACAUUAAAGAAAAAUAAAAUUAAACACGAAAAAAGUAAGAUUGAAAUAUAAAGAAAGGCCCUAAUGAAGCCAAAGUCCGAAGCUCCGAGUCUGGUGCGGUGAUUCAAAGGUUUCAAAAGACAGACUCUGAAGCCUCAAAACCUCACCCCAAUACCGCGACUCCUCUUUGUUUCCUGAGACGAAUAAAACACGAAGAAUACUC
rnacentral:lncRNA from 1 species